UACGUAGGUGGCAAGCGUUGUCCGGAAUUAUUGGGCGUAAAGGGCGUGUAGGUGGAUUUUUAAGUCGUGUGUCUAAGUGCGGGGCUCAACCCCGUAUAGGCGCAGGAAACUGGGAAUCUUGAGUGCAGGAGAGGAAAGUGGAAUUCCCAGUGUAGCGGUGAAAUGCGUAGAUAUUGGGAGGAACACCAGUGGCGAAGGCGACUUUCUGGACUGUGUCUGACACUGAGGCGCGAAAGCUAGGGGAGCGAAC
rnacentral:rRNA from 1 species